rnacentral:lncRNA from 1 species
AUUCUGCAGAGUCUCCGCUGCCCUCAUAUCUCAAACCCCGAUCCUGCACUAAUACUCCUGUCGUCUCACUUCUCCAGGGAGAUCCGGGAGAGGGCGGGCUUCCUGGCGGUCCGGGUGUGAAGGGCGAGCCGGGGUCAUCUGGAGAUCGAGGGAAUGCUGGACAAAAGGGAGCUCCCGGAGAGCCUGGUCCUAUAGGAACACCUGGUCUACAGGUAAGACAUCAGCUUCUAUACUUUAUAUCUAAAUGUACAAUCAGUUCUGCAUCAACACCACAU